UAAGCAUAUCAAUAAGCGGAGGAAAAGAAACUAACAAGGAUUCCCCUAGUAACUGCGAGUGAAGCGGGAAAAGCUCAAAUUUGAAAUCUGGCAGUUCUUGACUGUCCGAGUUGUAAUCUAGAGAAGUGUUACCUGUGCUGGACCGUGUACAAGUCUCCUGGAAUGGAGCAUCAUAGAGGGUGAGAAUCCCGUCUUUGACAUGGACUCCCAGUACGCUGUGGUGUGCUCUCAAAGAGUCGAGUUGUUUGGGAAUGCAGCUCAAAAUGGGUGGUAAAUGCCAUCUAAAGCUAAAUAUUGGCGAGAGACCGAUAGCGAACAAGUACCGUGAGGGAAAGAUGAAAAGAACUUUGGAAAGAGAGUUAAACAGUACGUGAAAUUGCUGAAAGGGAAACGCUUGAAGUCAGUCACGUUGGCUAGAAAUCAGCCCUGCUUUUGCGUGGUGUACUUUCUGGUUGACGGGUCAGCGUCAAUUUUGAUCACUGGAUAAAGUCUUUGGGAAUGUGGCAUCUUUGGAUGUGUUAUAGCCCUUGGUCGCAUACAGUGGUUGGGAUUGAGGAGCUUCGCAUGUGUUCAUGCUUAGGAUGCUGGCAUAAUGGCUUUAAUUGACCCGUCUUGAAACACGGACCAAGGAGUCUAACAUGCCUGCGAGUGUUUGGGUGGAAAACCCAUGCGCGCAAUGAAAGUGAAAGUUGAGAUCCCUUCAGGGAGCAUUGACGCCCAGACCAGACCUUCUGUGACGGUUCUGCGGUAGAGCAUGUAUGUUGGGACCCGAAAGAUGGUGAACUAUGCCUGAAUAGGGUGAAGCCAGAGGAAACUCUGGUGGAGGCUCGUAGCGAUUCUGACGUGCAAAUCGAUCGUCAAAUUUGGGUAUAGGGGCGAAAGACUAAUCGAACCAU
rnacentral:rRNA from 1 species